UCGAACGCAUAUCUCAAACUCAUACAUUACUCAUGGCAACUAUCAAAUCCAUCAAGGCUCGUCAGAUCUUCGAUAGCCGUGGUAAUCCAACGGUUGAGGUUGAUGUUUAUCUGUCAAAUGGCCUCUGGGAGAGAGCUGCAGUUCCUAGCGGCGCAUCUACAGGAAUAUAUGAAGCCCUUGAAUUGAGAGAUGGAGGGUCUGAGUACCUUGGGAAAGGUGUUUCAAAGGCUGUAAACAAUGUCAACUCAAUCAUUGGCCCUGCUCUUAUUGGCAAGGACCCGACCGAUCAGACUGGUCUCGAUAACUACAUGGUUCAUCAACUAGAUGGAACUCAAAAUGAGUGGG
rnacentral:misc_RNA from 1 species